GACCGCCUCGUUAUUGAUACCGAGCCAGAGGAGGAGGAGGAGGAAAUGGGGGAGCCUUCAGGCCAGCCUGAUGUCACUUACCUGUACGUGGACUCUGAGUCGGAGGAGUAUAUAAUUAUUGACAGUGAGGAGGAAGGGGAGAAAAAGCCCUCUCCCCAACUUGG